rnacentral:rRNA from 1 species
UACAGAGGGGGCAAGCGUUGUUCGGAAUUACUGGGCGUAAAGGGCGCGUAGGUGGCCUUCUAAGUUGAACGUGAAAUCCCUGGGCUCAACCCAGGAACUGCGUCCAAGACUGGGAGGCUUGAAUCCGGGAGAGGGAUGCGGAAUUCCAGGUGUAGCGGUGAAAUGCGUAGAUAUCAGGAGGAACACCGGUGGCGAAGGCGGUUCUCUGGGCAUGUCCUGACGCUGAGGAGCGAAAGUGUGGGGAGCGAACAGG